GACGAACGCUGGCGGCGUGCUUAACACAUGCAAGUCGAACGGAAAGGCCCUGCUUUUGUGGGGUGCUCGAGUGGCGAACGGGUGAGUAACACGUGAGUAACCUGCCCUUGACUUUGGGAUAACUUCAGGAAACUGGGGCUAAUACCGGAUAGGAGCUCCUGCUGCAUGGUGGGGGUUGGAAAGUUUCGGCGGUUGGGGAUGGACUCGCGGCUUAUCAGCUUGUUGGUGGGGUAGUGGCUUACCAAGGCUUUGACGGGUAGCCGGCCUGAGAGGGUGACCGGCCACAAUGGGACUGAGGGACGGCCCAGACUCCUACGGGAGGCAGCAGUGGGGAAUAUUGCACAAUGGGCGGAAGCCUGAUGCAGCAACGCCGCGUGCGUGAUGACGGCCUUCGGGGUGUAAACCGCUUUCGCCUGUGACGAAGCGUGAGUGACGGUAAUGGGUAAAGAAGCACCGGCUAACUACGUG
rnacentral:rRNA from 1 species